rnacentral:rRNA from 1 species
AACACUUGGAAACAGGUGCUAAUACCGUAUAACAAUCGAAACCGCAUGGUUUUGAUUUGAAAGGCGCUUUCGGGUGUCGCUGAUGGAUGGACCCGCGGUGCAUUAGCUAGUUGGUGAGGUAACGGCUCACCAAGGCCACGAUGCAUAGCCGACCUGAGAGGGUGAUCGGCCACAUUGGGACUGAGACACGGCCCAAACUCCUACGGGAGGCAGCAGUAGGGAAUCUUCGGCAAUGGACGAAAGUCUGACCGAGCAACGCCGCGUGAGUGAAGAAGGUUUUCGGAUCGUAAAACUCUGUUGUUAGAGAAGAACAAGGAUGAGAGUAACUGUUCAUCCCUUGACGGUAUCUAACCAGAAAGCCACGGCUAACUACGUGCCAGCAGCCGCGGUAAUACGUAGGUGGCAAGCGUUGUCCGGAUUUAUUGGGCGUAAAGCGAGCGCAGGCGGUUUCUUAAGUCUGAUGUGAAAGCCCCCGGCUCAACCGGGGAGGGUCAUUGGAAACUGGGAGACUUGAGUGCAGAAGAGGAGAGUGGAAUUCCAUGUGUAGCGGUGAAAUGCGUAGAUAUAUGGAGGAACACCAGUGGCGAAGGCGGCUCUCUGGUCUGUAACUGACGCUGAGGCUCGAAAGCGUGGGGAGCAAACAGGAUUAGAUACCCUGGUAGUCCACGCCGUAAACGAUGAGUGCUAAGUGUUGGAGGGUUUCCGCCCUUCAGUGCUGCAGCUAACGCAUUAAGCACUCCGCCUGGGGAGUACGACCGCAAGGUUGAAACUCAAAGGAAUUGACGGGGGCCCGCACAAGCGGUGGAGCAUGUGGUUUAAUUCGAAGCAACGCGAAGAACCUUACCAGGUCUUGACAUCCUUUGACCACUCUAGAGAUAGAGCUUCCCCUUCGGGGGCAAAGUGACAGGUGGUGCAUGGUUGUCGUCAGCUCGUGUCGUGAGAUGUUGGGUUAAGUCCCGCAACGAGCGCAACCCUUAUUGUUAGUUGCCAUCAUUCAGUUGGGCACUCUAGCAAGACUGCCGGUGACAAACCGGAGGAAGGUGGGGAUGACGUCAAAUCAUCAUGCCCCUUAUGACCUGGGCUACACACGUGCUACAAUGGGAAGUACAACGAGUUGCGAAGUCGCGAGGCUAAGCUAAUCUCUUAAAGCUUCUCUCAGUUCGGAUUGCAGGCUGCAACUCGCCUGCAUGAAGCCGGAAUCGCUAGUAAUCGCGGAUCAGCACGCCGCGGUGAAUACGUUCCCGGGCCUUGUACA